rnacentral:tRNA from 1 species
GGCCUCGUAGCUCAGUUGUUAGAGCACUAACGGUACUCAAGCGAGGCUGGUGACCAUGCGUGGGUUAGAAUCCCGCCGGGGCCA